rnacentral:rRNA from 1 species
GAUGAACGCUGGCGGUAUGCUUAACACAUGCAAGUCGAACGGUCACUUCGGUGAUAGUGGCGGACGGGUGAGUAACGCGUGAGAAUCUGUCUUCAGGUCGGGGACAACAGUUAGAAAUGACUGCUAAUACCGGAUGUGCCUUUGGGUGAAAGAUUUAUUGCCUGAAAAAGAGCUCGCGUCAGAUUGGCUAGUAGGUGGUGUAAGAGACUACCUAGGCUCCGAUCUGUAGCUGGUCUGAGAGGACGAUCAGCCACACUGGAACUGAGACACGGUCCAGACUCCUAUGGGAGGCAGCAGUGGGGAAUUUUCCGCAAUGGGCGAAAGCCUGACGGAGCAAUACCGCGUGAGGGACGAAGGCUUUUGGGUCGUAAACCUCUUUUCUCAAGGAAGAUGAUGACGGUACUUGAGGAAUAAGCAUCGGCUAACUCUGUG